UACGUAGGGCGCAAGCGUUGUCCGGAAUUAUUGGGCGUAAAGAGCUCGUAGGCGGUCUGUCGCGUCUGUUGUGAAAACUCGAGGCUCAACCUCGGGCUUGCAGUGGAUACGGGCAGACUAGAGUGCGGUAGGGGAGACUGGAAUUCCUGGUGUAGCGGUGAAAUGCGCAGAUAUCAGGAGGAACACCGGUGGCGAAGGCGGGUCUCUGGGCAACAACUGACGCUGAGGAGCGAAAGCCAGGGGAGCGAACGGG
rnacentral:rRNA from 1 species